CGCUGGCGGCGUGCCUAAUACAUGCAAGUCGAACGCACUCUCGUUUAGAUUGAAGGAGCUUGCUCUGAUUGAUAAACAUUUGAGUGAGUGGCGGACGGGUGAGUAACACGUGGGUAACCUGCCCUAAAGUGGGGAUAACAUUUGGAAACAGAUGCUAAUACCGCAUAAAACCUAACACCGCAUGGUGUAGGGUUGAAAGAUGGUUUCGGCUAUCACUUUAGGAUGGACCCGCGGUGCAUUAGUUAGUUGGUGAGGUAAAGGCUCACCAAGACCGUGAUGCAUAGCCGACCUGAGAGGGUAAUCGGCCACACUGGGACUGAGACGCGGCCCAGACUCCUACGGGAGGCAGCAGUAGGGAAUCUUCCACAAUGGACGAAAGUCUGAUGGAGCAACGCCGCGUGAGUGAAGAAGGUUUUCGGAUCGUAAAACUCUGUUGUUGGAGAAGAAUGUAUCUGAUAGUAACUGAUCAGGUAGUGACGGUAUCCAACCAGAAAGCCACGGCUAACUACGUG
rnacentral:rRNA from 1 species